rnacentral:rRNA from 1 species
GGGAUAAUCGGGAGAAAUCCCGUCUAAUACCGCGUAAUCCCGCGGGGCUGCAUGGUCCUGCGGCCAAAGGGAGCGAUUCCGGCAACGGAUGGGCAUGCGUGACAUUAGCUAGUUGGCGGGGCAACGGCCCACCAAGGCGACGAUGUCUAGGGGUUCUGAGAGGAAGGUCCCCCACACUGGUACUGAGACACGGACCAGACUCCUACGGGAGGCAGCAGUGAGGAAUAUUGGUCAAUGGGCGCGAGCCUGAACCAGCCAAGUCGCGUGAGGGAUGACGGCCCUACGGGUUGUAAACCUCUUUUGUCGGGGAGCAAAUUCCGCCACGUGUGGCGGAGUCGAGAGUACCCGAAGAAAAAGCAUCGGCUAACUCCGUGCCAGCAGCCGCGGUAAUACGGAGGAUGCGAGCGUUAUCCGGAUUUAUUGGGUUUAAAGGGUGCGUAGGCGGACUGUCAAGUCAGCGGUAAAAUACGGGGGCUCAACCUCCGCCCGCCGUUGAAACUGACGGUCUUGAGUGGGCGAGAAGUAUGCGGAAUGCGUGGUGUAGCGGUGAAAUGCAUAGAUAUCACGCAGAACUCCGAUUGCGAAGGCAGCAUACCGGCGCCCGACUGACGCUGAAGCACGAAAGCGUGGGUAUCGAACAGGAUUAGAUACCCUGGUAGUCCACGCAGUAAACGAUGAAUAAUAGCUGUCCGGG